rnacentral:rRNA from 1 species
GAUGAACGCUAGUGGCAGGCCUAACACAUGCAAGUCGAGGGAGAAGCCCUUUCGGGGGCAGAAACCGGCGCACGGGUGCGUAACGCGUAUGCAACCUACCUUUCACAGGGGGAUAGCCCGAAGAAAUUUGGAUUAAUACCCCAUAAUAUUAUUGGAUGGCAUCAUUUGAUAAUUAAAACUGCGGUGGUGAAAGAUGGGCAUGCGUCCUAUUAGCUAGUUGGAGUGGUAACGGCACCCCAAGGCUACGAUAGGUAGGGGUCCUGAGAGGGAGAUCCCCCACACUGGUACUGAGACAGGGACCAGACUCCUACGGGAGGCAGCAGUGAGGAAUAUUGGUCAAUGGUCGGAAGACUGAACCAGCCAUGCCGCGUGCAGGAAGAAUGCCUUAUGGGUUGUAAACUGCUUUUAUAUGGGAAGAAUAAGGCGUACGUGUACGUUGAUGACGGUACCAUAUGAAUAAGCAUCGGCUAACUCCGUG